AUUGAACACUGGCGGCAGGCCUAACACAUGCAAGUCGAACGAGUGGCGGACGGGUGAGUAAUGUCUGGGAAACUGCCCGAUGGAGGGGGAUAACUACUGGAAACGGUAGCUAAUACCGCAUACCAUCGGAUGUGCCCAGAUGGGAUUGGCUAGUAGGUGGGGUAAAGGUUCACCUAGGCGACGAUCCCUAGCUGGGCUGAGAGGCUGACCAGCCACACUGGAACUGAGACACGGUCCAGAAUCCUAUAGGAGGCAGCCGUGGGGAAUAUGUCACAAUGGGCGCAAGCCUGAGGCAGCCAUGCCGCGUGUGUGAAGAAGGCCUUCGGGUUGUAAAGCACUUUCAGCUAGGAGGCGUUACUCGCAGAAGAAGCACCGGCUAACUCCGUGCCAGCAGCCGCGGUAAUAC
rnacentral:rRNA from 1 species